rnacentral:rRNA from 1 species
AUUGAACGCUGGCGGCAUGCCUUACACAUGCAAGUCGAACGGUAACGCGGGGCAACCUGGCGACGAGUGGCGAACGGGUGAGUAAUGCAUCGGAACGUACCCAGUAGUGGGGGAUAGCCCGGCGAAAGCCGGAUUAAUACCGCAUACGACCUAAGGGUGAAAGCGGGGGACCGUAAGGCCUUGCGCUAUUGGAGCGGCCGAUGUCAGAUUAGGUAGUUGGUGGGGUAAAGGCCUACCAAGCCUUCGAUCUGUAGCUGGUCUGAGAGGACGACCAGCCACACUGGGACUGAGACACGGCCCAGACUCCUACGGGAGGCAGCAGUGGGGAAUUUUGGACAAUGGGCGAAAGCCUGAUCCAGCCAUGCCGCGUGCGGGAAGAAGGCC